rnacentral:rRNA from 1 species
CGGCGAGCGAAGCGGGAAGAGCUCAAAUUUAUAAUCUGGCACUUUCAGUGUCCGAGUUGUAAUCUCUAGAAGUGUUUUCCGCGUUGGACCGCACACAAGUCUGUUGGAAUACAGCGGCACAGUGGUGACACCCCCGUACACGGUGCGGACGCCCAGCGCUUUGUGAUACACUUUCGAAGAGUCGAGUUGUUUGGGAAUGCAGCUCAAAUUGGGUGGUAAAUUCCAUCUAAAGCUAAAUAUUGGCGAGAGACCGAUAGCGAACAAGUACCGUGAGGGAAAGAUGAAAAGCACUUUGGAAAGAGAGUUAACAGUACGUGAAAUUGUUGGAAGGGAAACGCUUGAAGUCAGACUUGCUUGCCGGAGCUUGCUUCGGUUUGCAGGCCAGCAUCAGUUUUCCGGGGUGGAUAAUGGCGGUUAGAAGGUAGCAGCUUCAGCUGUGUUAUAGCUUUCCGCUGGAUACAUCCUGGGGGACUGAGGAACGCAGCGUGCUUUUAGCGGGGGUUUCGACCUCUUCACGCUUAGGAUGCUGGUGUAAUGGCUUUAAACGACCC